GAUGAACGCUGGCGGCGUGCCUAAUACAUGCAAGUCGAGCGAACAGACGAGGAGCUUGCUCCUCUGACGUUAGCGGCGGACGGGUGAGUAACACGUGGAUAACCUACCUAUAAGACUGGGAUAACUUCGGGAAACCGGAGCUAAUACCGGAUAAUAUAUUGAACCGCAUGGUUCAAUAGUGAAAGACGGUUUUGCUGUCACUUAUAGAUGGAUCCGCGCCGCAUUAGCUAGUUGGUAAGGUAACGGCUUACCAAGGCAACGAUGCGUAGCCGACCUGAGAGGGUGAUCGGCCACACUGGAACUGAGACACGGUCCAGACUCCUACGGGAGGCAGCAGUAGGGAAUCUUACGCAAUGGGCGAAAGCCUGACGGAGCAACGCCGCGUGAGGGAUGAAGGUCUUCGGAUCGUAAAACUCUGUUAUUAGGGAAGAACAAAUGUGUAAGUAACUAUGCACGUCUUGACGGUACCUAAUCAGAAAGCCACGGCUAACUACGUG
rnacentral:rRNA from 1 species